GACAAACCGACCAGUCGGCUGCUGCUGGUCAACGUGCCAAGCGCGAUUUCCAUUUCAUCCCUUCCCCAUUUCACAAAAGUCGACAGUCGCUGGUGGGAGAGAGACGGAAUUCAACCGAGGAAAAUAAUAAGGGCAAUGGGUCAAUCACAUGAUCAAAAAAUGAACGGGUAAAUCUCCACUGGGAAUUGAACUGUAAAUAACGGGAGAAUUUCCAAGAGAAUAGAGAGAGGCUAAUAACCCUAACAACGUAUGAACACGUUGU